GGAGGAGUGGCAGAGCGGUUGAUUGCGGCAGUCUUGAAAACUGUUGUGGGUGUAAGCCCACCGAGGGUUCGAAUCCUUCCUCCUCCGCCA
rnacentral:tRNA from 1 species